GAAACUUUUACGGCAAGCAAAGUUUCCUACGCCGCCGACACUUUGAUGAACUCCUCUAAUGAGCUCCUCAUAACACACAAAAGGCCCGCCCCCACCCACCACUUUGGUCGUGUGUUCGUGUGUGUCUAGGGCUUUGUGCCGAACGGGAAACAAACAAAAAAAAAAUCACUCCACUUUGCAAAUUCCAUCGGUAGCCAUUGACUUUGAUUCCGCUUCGAGGGCGGCGGGAGGGAGGGAAUCUUAUCAGAUCCAAAAAGGGAACGAGCCUGCUUCUGAAAGGGCUCACUCCCACCCCCAAGGUCAUGCGCUGUUCAGCUGCUGUUCCGUUUCUAGCACACCUGUAUGAAUUUGGCUCUCUCGCUGGCUGCUCUCCUCUGUUCGAGGGGCCUGCGCACACGGCGGAGAGGAGCUCGCUCUGCUGCCAGGACUAGGACAACGCAGCAGCAGCAGCAGCGAUGUCUGCAGAGGCAGCAACAGCUUUGUCCGUUUGCCUCAACGCCAAGAGAAGCAGAAGCAGGAGGAGGAG